UUUUGGCCGGGCGCGGUGGCUUUACGCCUGUAAUCCCAGCACUUCCGGAGGCUGAGGCGGGCAGAUCACGAGGUCAGGAGAUCCAGACCAUCCUGGCUAACACCGUGAAACCCCGUUCUCUACUAAAAAUACAAAAAAUUAGCUGCGCAUGGUGGCCGGCGCCUAUAAUCCCAGGUACUCGGGAAGCUGAGGCAGGAGAAUGGCGUGAACCCAGGAGGCGGAGCUUGCAGUGAGCCGAGAUCUUGCCAGUGCACUCCAGCCUGGGAGACAAAACGAGACUCUAUCUCAAAAAAAAAAAAAAAAAAAAAAAAAAAAAAAAACCAGAUUUAUUUUAUUUGUUGAUGAAAUAAUAUUGUUCUUCCUUUUCUCCUGAUUAUGGUACAUCUAAAACAUGUUAGAGAUCUUUACUGUUAGGUUGUGUGAAGAAAUAAAAAUAUGUAGCAAAUGAUUGUAAACGUGCUGGUAUUUAUAGCUAAGGCUUCUUAUAAAGGGAUCUAUUUCUAGCAGAUGAGGAAGGUACAGUUCACAAAAUAAAUUCAAACUCAAUGCAUUUUUGUUCUUUCAGACACUUUCGGGAACAUUAAAAGAUGCCUACCACCAUUUGUCUCUCAUGAAGAUGUGAACUGUGACUGGAACCAGCUCAGUCUCUCACAGAAGACUGGGACUUUCUCAUGCUUCUCAUGCUCUAAGCCCUAUUUUCAGAUGCUCUUAAGCCACAGAGAAAAUUAUAUAUUGGGGAAUUUAUAUCCCAUAAAGGAUUGUGUAGCUGAGAAACUGGAUUGCAUGACUGACCAUGAUUUAGGACAGGGAAGGAAAAAUUGCCAGAAAUUGGAAACAAAAGGACUUGUGUAGAGAAGGUCACCUUUGAGAGACCAAAUCAUUCUGCAGUGCACAAGGUCAACCAAGGUGACACCACAGAGAAGAAACAAGGGGGUUAAAUACCCUGACUUCACUCUUCAUCUUCUCCAGGCUGAGCCUCUCUUAACUUUUUGGUAAGAAUUAUCCAAAACUUAGAAAUUAAGCAAGAGACGGAAUGAGAAUCUCUUCAAUAUCACAUUGGGGUAUUAUUUAACAAGUCCUUGUAAGAAUUAUUUAUUUCUUUAGGAGCAUUGAGCAGUAAUUGAUCUUGCUAUUUGCUGCUAAUUAUAGGCCCAGACUGUGAAUGGAUGUUCAGUUGCAGAUUUUUGUCUGGUGGAGAUCAAGUUAUUUUUGUCUGAUAGCAAAGAUAACCUGUAGUUGUAUUUCCUUGUAUGAUGUUCUUACUGGUUUUCAUUUUAAUUAAUGAGUUGACAAAUAUCAUUGAUACUUUUCUGCUCUAUUUUCCAUUUUUAACUGAACCUGAUCAGAAAUGAGGGGGCACAGCAGCCCUGUUAAUGAUCAAGUCAGUCUCACAGCACAAAGUAGGGUGGAGAAGGAUGGAUCAUACAUCUGAAAGAGCAAAUGGAAGAUAUUCUACCAGGUUACAAUUUUUGAUCUGAUGUUAUUUUUUCCUGAAUAUGACUAAUAGAGUCAUGAUACAUUUUAAAAUUAUUGUGAGUAGACAUUUUUGUGCAAAGAGAUCAUAGACACCACUAAAGCCCAUGGGAAGAAGAUAAAAAUUAUGACUCAUUAGGAGAAAAUCCUACAAAUAGAUAGUAAAAUCUCUAUUAAAU
rnacentral:lncRNA from 10 species